rnacentral:rRNA from 1 species
UACGUAGGUGGCAAGCGUUGUCCGGAUUUACUGGGCGUACAGGGAGCGUAGGCGGUUGGAUAAGCCCUCCGUGAAAUCUCCAGGCUUAACCUGGAAAGUGCAGAGGGGACUGUUCAGCUAGAGGAUGGGAGAGGAGCGCGGAAUUCCCGGUGUAGCGGUGAAAUGCGUAGAGAUCGGGAGGAAGGCCGGUGGCGAAGGCGGCGCUCUGGAACAUUUCUGACGCUGAGGCUCGGAAAGCGUGGGGAGCAAACAGG